CUUUAAAGCUCCGUUGAAGGAGGCCAUAGCUCGCGUCGCGUACGUUGGGUGGAGAGAGCAAGAGAGGCGUGUGCGUUGGAGAACGUGGCGUGCGGUUGCGUCGGCGGCGGAGAAGAGAAGGUAGCAGCAGCAGCGGAGCAGCCUAGACCCCUCUUUCUCUCACGCUCAGAGGAUGGAAGCGGCGCAGGCGCAGGCGUAGUGAGAAGGCGCGGGACCGCGGCGGCGCAGGCGGUGAAGAGGAGCGGAACAGCAGGGGCAGGGAGAGAGUAUCGGCUCGAGGUCGGGAGGUGGUAGGGGAGGAGGAACUGGCGGAGAGGGGAGCAGACUUCCUCGUGCCCCGACCGUCGACGCGGACUCGGCGGUGUUCCGGCAGUCCAUCUCUUCUAAACCACGGUGACCGGCAAGGGUGGCGACAGGCUCAGGCUGCAGAGCCUCAACGGUCUCAGCGGCAGCGGUAUGCUUCUGCUCAGCCGCCCCUCUACGACCACAACCCUAAGCCCUCCCAGGUUAGACGUCGUUUAGGAACCCUCUAUACUGCCACAUAAAACCUUACGAGCUGCCGAACGACCGACGUCUUCUCGAAGGACUCCUUAUGGCCUUGGCUACGGUCCUAUAUGAGACAUUGCUGACGCCUUUUUUCCCUAAAGAGCCAAGGUGACCGACAUAGUGUUUACGCGGCGGACACCGAGCAUGUUGUGGUCUCAAUAGUUCUGGCUCCGUGGUCUAACAAGGUACAGCUUAAUUGUCCAGGCGGCUGCUCCUACACCUACUCCUGCUCCAGCUCGGGGAAGGGCCGCGCUAGAGGAAAACCUCCGAUAAGUUGAAGCAGCUACCGGAGCUGACCCGUGAGUACCGGCGACCGUGUCAGCGGCGGCGGCGGGUGCUACGUCGUAAGCAUCAGAUGUACGUGAUUACCAGGAACUUAAAAGAGCUACGACUCGCCUAAAUCAGACGAGAUGUGCCAGCAUCGCUGCUCGGGGAGUUGGUUAAAUUCGUCCAUUUGGCAACGAAGUGUACGAGCAGAGAAUUAACGUGCGGACUGUCCCGGACGUUGCACUAUAAAUAACGGACUGAGGGUUUCCAUUUAAGUUGUUGUUUACACAAAUCCUAGGACAUUCCUUGGUCUACGGAGAGAGUUAUAGAUAACUUAUGUUCGAAACUAAUGUUCGUUGUGGUUACCUCUAUGUUUCAAACCCCUAGUCCUUCUUGUAUUCCUCCUCCUACUCUCCAUCCCCUUCUCUCGGCGGCACGGUUUCGGCACUAGGUGACCUACUGGUCUUGUUACGGAUGAGGGAGCAUGAACAUGAGACAUCGAAAUCACCAAAGGACUACCCGAUCCGGGUGCAUGGCCAGGUCCCCGUUUGGGUGUACAACCCAUUGCAUCAUUAAAGUUUUUUUUAGGAUGCGUGUGCGUUCUAGUACCACUACGUAUCGUUGCUCUCCCCUCUCACAAAAGAUGCAUGGGAGCAUCUGACCUUCGCCUUCGCAAUCGUGUUGCGCCAACUACAUCAGCAUGCAGAAGUGUCGGGCUGGCUAGUUCGUGGCUUUGAUGCUGUGGAGGCUCAAGAUCGUGUACAAGUCGAGCUACUGCUAGGGGCCUGAGGCUAGGUCGUUUCACAGCCCCUUCUCAAGGCAGUCGUACUGCCGCACCACUGCUAGAACUACAAGAUGGCAGCGUCCCAAAGCGGAUUCGUGGCGAUCUUAUAAUAGCUCCUAAUACCACCUCCCCCCGUGGCGUGUGCCGAUUCUCUUGCUAGUGCUUCUAGUUGAACACAGAGAUACCCCACGGGGGACCGGCGC
rnacentral:rRNA from 1 species